CCAACGGCCUUGGCCUCCCAAAGUGCUGGGAUUACAGGCGUGAGCCACCACACCAAGCCUUAAUAAAUAUUAUCUAUUCAUGAACACUGAACUCAACGGCCAACAGCACUAUAAGUCAAGCCUAAAUGAAGCUUACUUAAAAACACAUAUAUUCCCUGUAAGGCACAUUAUAGCCUUCUUGUGCUGAGGAACACUAGACAGCAGUAUACUUGGAGACUAUUUUAAACAGUGAAAUCACCAACAGAAAGCACAAAAAUGUGAAAAACAACAUAGCACUAAAUACACUGGAGAAAAGACCAUUGUUAUAGCAGGCAAGCUGAAGCAAGAAGGCUGAGCAAAACCUUGUUCGGCCUAAUCUGGGGACAUUAGGAAUCAGGUGAUUAAAAUUUUUUGCCAUUCUGCCCAGGUCUGCAAAUGACCACAACAGCACCCACAGUAUUGAUUUUUGGUUACAAGUAAUUUUUAGUGAAUAGGUGAAUUUGCAAAUACAGAAUCUCUGAAAAAUGAGAAUUGAAUAUGUAUGCUGGACAUGGUUUUGAAAAUUAUUUGUAGAAAUAUGAAGCCUUGAAUAAAGUUGUCUUCCCCUGAAGGGAUUUUAUUUUGUAUCUGCCAGAUGCCUGGGAGGCAUUAGCAAUCCCGGAGUACCCUAAUCCAAGUUUAAAGCCUGAGGUUUUCUGGUCCCCUGCCAUGAAUCAAGGCUGCAGAUCUAUGUAAGAUUUAGUUAUUUUUUGGUUCCUCAUUAACAUUCGAGAAUAGCCCUUUGUGAUUCCAGCUUAAAGUUGGAGUUGGUUUAUCAAAGUCCUCGUUUCAUCUGACGUUUUAAAUUGUGCUCCGUGGAGCAGCCAUCUGAAUUACCUAAUCUGACAGUUCUUACAGAAGUAGAACCUUCCUUUCUUUUUCUCUUUCUAAUUUUAAUUCUUUCUGCCUUCUAAUGAUUUUCACAUUGCUGUCUCUUCUCUUUCCUUCCUUUUUUUCUUUGGUUUUUGAAACAUUUACUGUAAUUGUUAUAAGAUAAAAUAAUUGUUCUCAGUAAAGUAUGAUUCUUAGAAUUACACUAAAAUGUAGCCUUCAGAUUACUUUAGUAAUAUUACUAAUAUUAUUUAGUAAAAUUCAUGGAUUUUUUUUAAAAAAGGAAACCUGGAAUUUGGAACAAGACCGUGAACUUUUUAUUCUGUUUUUUCAUAAAGUUACUCAUUAGCCUUCAUAUUAUUUUGGAAAAGUAUAGGAUAAAACAUGAUUUCUUAAUUUAGCUUUCACUUAAGUUUUUUAUUGUAUUUUAUAAUAUGGAUUUUAUAAUAUGGGAUUGCCUAUCAUGGAGUAGUUAAAUUUGAUGGAUCUUUUUUCUUAUCAAAUAAGAAAAGAUUUCUUAUCAAAUCUGCCCUUGUCCCCCUUUAUUCUGCUUUCUAGAUGGCAGCCCAGUGAUUAUAUUACAACUUAAGUUAGAUGAUUUGGCUUCUUUGCUCAGAAACCUCCUAUAACUUCCCAUUUCAUUCAAUAAAAACCAAAGUCCUUUUUGGGAUCCUUAGGGUCUAGAUGAUCUGGCUUCUCAUGACUUUUCUGACCCAAUUUUCUACUAGUCACUCCCUGUUCUUCAUGCUCUAAUCAUUUCAGCUUUUUUAUCUUCCUGGAACAUGUCAUGCAUUUUCUCAUCUGAAAGCCUUGAUGUUCUCUACGUCAAGAAAGCUCUUCCCCCCAAUAUCUGCAUCUAGCUUCCUUAUGUCAUUUUAGUUUUCCUUAAAAGUUGCCUUCUUAAUGAGACUUCCCUUGAUUAUCUUAUCUAAAACUUUAGUCUUCCUUCCAAAGCAUUGUAUUCCCUCCUUUCCUGUUUUGUUUUUCUCCUUAGCAGUUAUCAUACUAUAUACUCUACUUUUUUUCUCCCUUAUCAAAAUAUAAACUCCAUGAAAGCAGGGAUUUUUAUCUACUUUUCCCUACUAUGCUCCCAGUGCUUGUCAAAGAAAAGAGUAUAAUUAUUGACUGAAUAACGAAUGAAGGAAAUUUGUUACCAAAAGCUAUUUAAUUAAGAGCCUUAAUUGUUAAUUAGAUAAAUCUAUAUCAAAGUGCAAAUAGAGAAUAUAAGUGUAAAAACUUUCAGAUUGUAUUUAUUUCAGUUUUUAUUUUGAAAUAAUUCAAAUUUAUAGAAAAAUUGUAAGAGUAAAUGCUUUUUUUCUUGAUUCAUUUGAGAGUUAGAUGUUCCAUUACCCCCAAAUACUUUGGCACUUUUUUCUGACGAGCCAGGGAUUCUCUUCUAUAACAAGAGUGUUAACUAUUACAUCACGAAAUUAAUAUGAUUGAUACAUCUGUUACUACCAUCUAAUCUUUAGACUCCAUUUAGAUUUUGCCAGUUCUUCCAAUAAUGUCUUAUUUUGCAAAGUUCUAAUCUGGGAUCUUGCGUAGCAUUUGGCUGUCAGGGCUCUUUAUCUCUGUUUGUCUGGAAUGGCUUCACCGUCUUAUGACCUUGGUGCUUUUGAAGAUUACAUACCAGUGAUUUUGUAGAACGUGCCAUAGUUUGGGCUUGUCUGAUGUUUCUUCAUGAUUACAUGUAGGUUGUACAUAUUUGGCAGUAAUAUCACAGAAAUGAUGCUUUGUUCUUAUUCUAUAAGUUGAUACUCACUUUUGGUUUAUACCAUUACUACUGAUGUUAACUUUGAUCACUUGAUGAAGGUAGUGAUUGCUGGUUUUCUUCAAUAUAAAGGUACUUUUUUCUCCUUUGUUAUUAUUUUCUAAAGAGAAACUAUUAUGUUCCAUCAAACUUUCACCCAUUAGUUUUAGCAUUUAUUGAUGUUUCUUACCUGAUUUAAUUGUGACUGAGAUGGAAGUCAAGUGAUGAUUUUCUAAUUUGUUAUUUUUUCUACAGUUGUUGGGAUUAUGCUAUAAGAAAUCUCCCCAUUCAUAGAUUCAUUGAUUUAUUAAUAUUUAUAUCAGUAUGGGCUUAUGAAUUCUUGUUUUACUCAGUGAAUGAGUCAUAGUUCCUUAGUGUUACGUAUUUUGGUAUGCAAAUUGUCUCAGAUUUGGCAAGUGGGAUUCUUUUCAAAUUUCUGUGUACUUUAACAUGUUUCUUAGCAUUCUUUGAGCACCUUCUGUCUCUGGCACAAUAAGAUGUUCAGGUUUAUCUUGCAAUAUCCCUGCCCCACACCUGGAAUCAUUUAUUUUACAGGAAAUCAUGAUUCCAUUUUGUGUGAAGAAUGAUAUUUAGAACCCCAAAUCUGGAUACUAAUUGUGUUCCUUGUAUUGAGUGUCACCGUUCUCAGGCCCUUUCAGUAAAAAGAACUGGGAAAUAUAUGUAUGUAUGUACAUAUUUAUUCUUACAUUAAUUUUUGCAUCUAUAUAUUGAAAACUGAGUUUGCACUGAUAUCUUCACUCCUAACACCAUAGGGUUCAUUUUAGUUUCACCCUUUCUAUGUUUAUAACUUCCAGUGAGAAAAUGGGGUCCAACUACAAUAUAUUACAUAUAUGAUCAGUCUCCUAUAUGUAACCAGUCUUUCAAUCAUGCUGGCUACUACUCCUGGUGGUCACUUCCUUGAUUAUAUUUGACCCUUUCACCUAGUUGCACCCUAAAGGGCCUGCAGAUUUGUAACUCCUUUGCCCAUGCCUAAUGAUUUAAGGAAGAAAAGGGUCUUCACAUUUUAAUGCAUACUUUAGGAUUCUUUAGCCUCAUGCUUUGUGCUUUUAGGAGAAAAUGCCUUAUACUAAGGGGUUCUUUUCAUGUUUUAGUAACUGUCCAGUUUUGAUGAUGUGGAUAAGUCUUAGACUUUCAUUCUCAUCUUUAUGAACAUGGUUUGCUGUGUUCUGAGCUUAUCUAAUAGCUAACUUAAAGCAAAGCUCAUUAAACUGUGUUAUGUAAGAAAAGAGUUUGGAGGAUCCUAGGAGAUUUUUUUGUAAUUUCAUUUAAACCUCUGUUAACAUAGAGAACAUGAUUAACAUGAAGCUCACUUAGCUAAUAGUCUUGCUCUCUGACCAGCUAAUCUAUCAAUAUACUAGUAAUUGGAACAUUUCAAAGAUAUACUUUUAACUCUUAAUUUCUGAUGUUUCAGGUAGGUUUGCAAAUGGGACAAAAGGCAGGCAAAGAACAAGAAGGCACAGUAUGAGAAGAAUUAAAGGAUCUUGAAUGAUGUACUUAUUUGUUAAUUUAGCAAACAUUUAUUGAUUAUUUCAUGCAUAUUAAGCUGUUCUGCUAAGAAGAUUGUGUGUCAAAAUAGAUAGUGUUCUUGCCCUGAUGGAAUAGUUUCUUAACCUCAGCAUUUUGAACCAGAUAAUUCUUUGUCAUAGGAGGCUCCCCUAUGCAUUUUAAGAUCUUUAGCAGCAUCCCUGACUUCCACUUACUAGACAACAGCAGCACUCACUCCCCUACCUCCAUUUGCAGUAACCAAAAAUGUCUCCAUAUAUUGUCAAAUGUCUGCAGGGAGUCAGCAGCAAAAUCAGCACUCCUGAUUGAGUACCACUGUACACAGUAAAAUCAAAUACAGAUAUAGACAUUCAACAGCUAAUCAUUCAGUAUAAUUAUCAAGUGUGAUAAAUGCUAAUUAUGAAAAGUACAGAGAGCCAUGAAACUGUAAUUAACCACCUAGCCCAUUGAAGAGUUUAAACUUGAUAUAACAGACAAUAGAGAACCACUGGAGAAUCUUGAUGAGGAAUAUAUCAUAUUGAAAUGGUUACAUCUUCUGGAAGAAACCAUUUAUUUUUACUCCAAACGUGAUACUGCCAACAUUAGGUUACAAAAGAACCAUAUUAUGCAGCUAUCAAGUACAUAUACUAAAAGAAAAUUUCUUUCUUAAAUUAAACCAAAGAUAUAUAAGUCUCUUAUCCAAAACUGAUUUCCUAGGGUCAUUCAUAUACCUAAGUGGAUAUUGCAAAUUUCUCUUGCAAUUUUUAGGGUCAGUUAUGAAGUUACCAGGAGAUUUAAGAAUCUGUAUGUUUAGGAAGAAAAAAGGGAAGAAACUGAAGGAAAGAAAAAAGCUCACUGCUUUCAGGUUACAUUCUUCUUGUUGCCUGCUGAGAUCAGAUGGUGGUGGAGGGAAGAUACAAAAUUUUGAAAUAUGGGACAUUUGGGGAAAUUAAGGCAGAUCAAGAUGGUAUGAUGCAAUAGAAGAAGCAAGAAGACCUUAAAACUGGUAGAAAUAACAAAAGGGAGUAUAUAUUGGGAAAAGAGAUAUAAAUUAUGCCAAAGGUCCAUUUGUCUAUUUUGGAUAUCUACUUAGGGCCAAUUCCGUGCCUGGGAAGAGAGAUGAAAACUUUAACUUCCUUUUCAAGGGCCUAGAAUUAGAGCUGGUUUAGCUGGUACUAACUAGUACUGUUUAACUGAGGUAAUAGACCUUUGUGAUGACAUCCUCAAAUUUAAGUAUUUAUAGCAUUAUUCUCUGGAACAAAGCAUUCAGAGUACUCAAAGUUUACUAGUGAGCUUACAGAGUACAGACCACUUAUAAACCAAGGGACUACCUGAAAAGUGUUUGUUAUUUAAAAAUUUAAAGUCUAUUUGAGUUUGAAAAACUAAAAUGAAAAGUUGAAAAUACCAAAUCUAAGACUUGUGUAAAAUGGAAUUUGGCAAGUGAUUAAUCCUUAAAAAGGAGUAAUUGUUUUAUCUAUUUUAGGGAAAAAUUAAUUUAACAAACCUAUUAUUAUGUGAAAUUUAGGUAAUGAACAUGGGCAGUACAUAAUUUCCGUAACAUUUAUAGCAUCAACCACAAAAAAGGCUGAAUUAGUGUCAUCAAAUACAAAGAAUGUUCAUUUCAGAAUUAGAGCUGUUCGGAAAGCACUGCUCAUGGUUACUAUAAUUCAACAUUUCAAGACUAUUUAAAAUUGCUAUGUCAUAUCAGUUUAAUAGACGUACCUUCCAGAUACCUAUAUGCUUGAUUUUGGAUAAGUAUUAUACUUUUUGUAUUUUUCAAUAUUGAGUUUUGUUUUUUUUUUUAGUUAAACAUGUUCUUUCAUCCAAUAACUUUUGGUUUUGUAUCAAAAAUAAAGAAACUUUAGUUAUGUUAAAUAAUAAAACAGAGGUCUCCCAACCUGCACUGUUUUGGACCAUGUAGACAGUGUUAACCUAGCUCAGCAGCUGACUGUGAUUGACUAGCCAGACCUCUGUAGUUGCCCCCACAUUUCCCUGGAGCUAGUAGAAUUUUGGUUGGAUGAGGUAUCAAUGUAAAUAGCAAAUUGGCUAACUGAAGUGGUUUUAGACAGUUGGAGGCUCCAGAGCUAAAGUUCCUAGAGGCUAUCCAAUCUCCCAACACCCCUGAUACCUAAGAACUCAACCUUGAAUAGCUAUAUCAUGCUUUUCUGUCCCUCUCCCCCACUGCUCUGUUCCCCUGUGGACUGGGUCCUGUUUCAGCUCUUCCAUGCAUGUCCCAGGCCUAUUCCUGUAGACAAAGGUCCAUUCAGCAAUAAAUAUUUCUGCCUUUUCCAUUUUGCAUUUGUGAAUGAGUCUCCGUGUACCUCCCAGAUCAAAGUGCCUCUCCCCCACAACAGUGGACAAGAUUUGCCAGAGCCCUAUAGCAGAAUAUCUUGACCCUCUCUUCACUAGACUAAGGAGGAAAAAGAAAACAACAAAAUAAGAACAAAGAAUUUAUCAUUUUAAAAGAAGAAUAUAGCAUUCCUCCCCGCCCCUCCAAAAGAAAUGAGAGACUAAUUUCAUACAUAAAAUGUAGGUACAAUUGCAUUUCUUACAGGAUUACUCAUUAAAGCUUUCUUAAUACUUAAAUCCAAAUCAAAGCAUUUGGCAAGAAUGUCCACUUCAUUUAUCAUUGCCUUGGAUAUACUUUAAAAAGUCUGUCACAGCUGGUCUACGAAUGGAUUUUUGCACACACUAAAACUUGUAUUGUGGCAAAUGUCUUCAUGUUAUAAGACUUCUGUAGAUGCUUAAAAUGUUGUUCUUCAUGAUUUUGUCCUGAUAACUUUCUAGAAAUUCUUCCCUUUUAUAGUCUUCUUUUUUUGAAAAGCAUUUUAAAAAGCUGGCAUAAAAUUAUAGUGCAAUUUUCAUAAGUAAAAUUAGGCCAGGUAGUUCAGAAUUAGAAAAUUAAUCUUUUUCCAAAGCAUUAUCUCACUUCCUAUAUGUGUUUAUAACCUAGUAGUAUCAGUACCAACAGCUAAAAUCAGCUUGUUUUUAAAAAUAUUAUUUUAUCAUUUCUCUUUAAUGAAUUGACAGUUACUCAUGUAUUAGAUAGCCUUAAUCAAGAAACAUUUACUAAGAACCUACUGUGCAAUAGUAGUAUGUUUAGAUUCAAAGCAUUUUGAAGAAAUACCCCAAAUUGGAGCACAAAGGUAUUAAGCUUGCUGUCCUUUUAAAAUACAGUGUGUGUUUAUGAGAGAGAGAGGAGGAAAAGGAGAGAUUUAAUUCAUUACAGACAGUGAAUUAUGACUGGAAAUAAUCAGGGUAAGUUUAAUCAAAGUAGGUUUAAAGCAUUAUUUUGAAGGAAGGGGGAGGGUAGAUUAGUAGAAUGUAAAUUUGGGGUAAAUUGACAGGCAAAUCAGUUUCCAUUUACUAACUGAGCCACUUUCCUCCAUAGAAACAGAACUUUUGCCUUUUUGUUUUACUGAAGUAUAUAUGAGGCCAUAUUGCAUUUAGUCUGUAUAAGAAAGAGAAAUAGUUGGAGAAGGAGUUGUGAAGGAGAUAGGAAGAGAAUAAAAAGAUCACUGCACUAUAGAAGCCAAGUGAGAGCAAUUCUCACAAUAUUAUAUAAGGAUUUAAGGAGAAUGAGACUGGUAAAGAGGCUACUGAUAGCCUCAUUAGUGACUUUCUAGAGAUCAGUUCCAACAGAGUAGUGAUGAUAAAAAGCAAAUCGCCAAGAGUUGAAGAGUAAAUGGAUAUUGAAGAAAUGGAGAAAGUCAUUAUAGUUUUUUCUUUUGGGCUAUUUUUUGAUAAAUGGAAACAAAAUAGAUUGCAGCAGGCCAAAGAGAGAUGGGGUGUGUUGAGCAUGUUCAUAGGUUGAAGGCAAGGAGUCAAAAUGCAGAGGGAGAUUCAAGGGAAGUAUAAUCAUUGAAUUAACCAAAUCAUAGAGAUAACACUAAAAACAGGAUACAAGAAAAGGGGCUCUUGAAAAGGAGGAUGUAUUUGUCUUCUUUUGAAGAAAAGAAGGAAAAAGGAUAUUCCAAACAGAUUUUCAAAUGGAGAGCUGGGAAGGUAAGGUUAUUCACAUUGAGUGGUUUCUUUGUUUUCUAGGAAGUAAAGUUAUUAUAAAAUGUGAGAUGGAGUUUGGGGAAGAGGGGUUUGAAGAGAGUAAAGAAGAUGUGGCAUGAUUGCUUUGGAAAAUAAUCAUAUGGUCAAGACAGCUAGAGAUGAAUGAAAUAAUUUCCCAGGGUUGCAUGAAUUAUGAUAGAUUCAUUUGGCUUAGUUUUAUGAUUAAUAUAGCAAUAAUCAGAAUAGUUACACAUAAAAUAUAUAAUAUGUGUGGGAUAGAGACUGAUAAAAUGUGUGCAAUGAAAGAAAAAAUAGAUGAGAAAAGUAUAGGCUGUGGAUUCCAUAAAGAA